AAGUCAAAAAAGUUGCUAUAAAAUCAAUUGAGAAUAAAUUAUAAAAACCAAUAAAAAUUAAAUAUAAGUAAAGUUUAUUAAAAAUUAUAAAUGGCGAUAGAAAAUAAGUACUGAAGAGGAAAUUUAAAAAGAUAUAAAGACUAAACUAGCAAAAAUAAAGAUUUGUACCUUGUGUAUUAGGGAUACUUUAAAUUAACUAAAGUUGAGUAGUAAUCCCGAAGUAAAAAUAGCUAGUUUUAUAGUUAACUUUUUGUAAAAUAAAAAUUUAAAAUAUAAUACUAAAAAUGAAAUGUUAUACGAGCUUUACUAUAUCUGGUUAUUUUAUAAUUAAAUAUAAUUUAACCCUUAAGUGUUAAAAAUUUAAGGGGCAAGAGUAGGAGGGAUAAGCUUCUUAUUCUAAUUUUAGUGUAUAAUAGUUAAAAAUUUAUGUUAUUUUUUUAGGCCUAAAAAUAGCCAAAAAGAAAAAGUGUUUUAAUUUAAAUGAUGAAUUAAAGUAAUUUAUUUAAACUUUAUCUGUUAUAAAAUCUUAACUUAUAAUAAUAAUUUUUUAGCGACAAUGAGUAUAUUAGUAAAAUUUAUUUAUGUUACAUAACAAUUUUUAAAUAUUAAAUAAAUAUAUAAAUAUCUAGAAAUAUUGAAGUAACUCGGCAAAUAAUUUCUCUGCCUGUUUAUCAAAAACAUGUCUAUUUGGAGUUAUUAAUAGUCUGGCCUGCUCACUGAUAAAAUAUUAAAGAGCCGCGGUAAUUUGACCGUGCAAAGGUAGCAUAAUCAUUAGUUCUUUAAUUGAGAACUGGCAUGAAAGGUCGGACAAGAGAAAAUCUGUCUCCAUUGUUAAAAUUAAAAUUGACUUUUAAGUGAAAAGGCUUAAAUACUUCAGGGGGACGAUAAGACCCUAUAAAACUUUAUAUAUGCAACAAUACAGUUGAAUUAAAGCAUAAAAACUUAUUCGAUAAAAUAUAUUUAGUUGGGGCGACUGAGGUAUAAUUUAUAGUAACUGAUUAAAAGCAAGACAAAUAAUAUUUGAUUAACUUUAAUUGAUCCUUUUUAAAGAUUAAAAGAUUAAGUUACUUUAGGGAUAACAGCGUAAUUUUUUCUAAGAGUCCAUAUCGAAGAAAAAGAUUGCGACCUCGAUGUUGAAUUAAAAUAUCUUUAUAGUGCAGCAGCUAUAGAUAAGAAAGUCUGUUCGACUUUUAAAUUUUUACAUGAUUUGAGUUCAGACCGGCGUAAGCCAGGUCGGUUUCUAUCUCCUGAAAAAACAAAAUUAUUUUAGUACGAAAGGAUUUGAUAAUUAAAAAUUUUUUAUUGAGUGAGAU
rnacentral:rRNA from 1 species